rnacentral:ncRNA from 1 species
CCGGAGGUACCCGAAAAUCCAUUAAAGAGUAGGGA